ACUCAAAGGAAUUGACGGGGGCCCGCACAAGCGGUGGAGCAUGUGGUUUAAUUCGACGCAACGCGAAGAACCUUACCUGGGCUUGACAUCCCUUGAAGGUGCUGGAAACAGUACCGUCCUUUCGGGGACAAGGUGACAGGUGCUGCAUGGCUGUCGUCAGCUCGUGUCGUGAGAUGUUGGGUUAAGUCCCGCAACGAGCGCAACCCUUAUCCUUAGUUGCCAGCGAGUAAUGUCGGGAACUCUAAGGAAACUGCCGGUGAUAAACCGGAGGAAGGUGAGGAUGACGUCAAGUCCUCAUGGCCUUUAUGCCCAGGGCUACACACGUGCUACAAUGGCCGGUACAAAGAGUUGCAAGCCCGCGAGGGGGAGCCAAUCUCAAAAAGCCGGUCUCAGUUCAGAUUGUAGGCUGCAACUCGCCUACAUGAAGGCGGAAUCGCUAGUAAUCCCGGAUCAGCAUGCCGGGGUGAAUACGUUCCCGGGCCUUGUACACACCGCCCGU
rnacentral:rRNA from 1 species